rnacentral:piRNA from 1 species
UGACAGUGCUUUGAAGAUCUCCUUUGA